AUACAAACAAAGGGAUGAGACACUCACUGAACCGAAGAAGAAACUAACGCGUUGUUACGCAAAAGGGAAACGAGACUUGCGACCCAACGAGACUUCGCGCUUCGAGGCAAAUUUUCACAGCCGCCAUUUUGACAAAGCGAGACCGUGACAAAGCAAUCGAGAAAGAAUAAGAGUACAAAUUAACCAAGUGUUGCCAGCACAGAAGUAUUCAUUGCAAAGUGUGCUGAAAAGAAGCAAAAGAGGGUCUCUUGCUCUUUAGACGGAAAGUUUGACCCCGCAAAGAAAAAUGUCAUGACGCCAGCGAAACUUGGGCGUACAAACCCAGGUCAUUUCCACAUUAAAAACUUUGAAUGGUUGAAAAACAUUGUGGACUUUAAAUAGUGCUGACAUACAUGUGUGUUCACAGCUAUGCCAAGGAUACGGAUACUGUCUGAUUCAACACGGAAAUUGGAUUCCUUUCUUUUCCUGAGACGUACCUUGACCAUCCCAGCACUAAGAUGAUGUUACUAUAUUCAUGUCUACUAUAUAAAGCAGUGGCGACAACAAACUUCACAAACCUUCAGACUUGCCGAAGACAAAAGAAAAUUCAGUAUGAAUUAGUUUUAAAUAUUCAAUUGAUUAAAUUAAACAUUUGCAUUUUUUCAUAAAUGAACACAUUCCAGCAGUGAAUAUCUCUGCUUAACUCAAAAGUGACUGUUAGAUCUUUGAUCAUGUUAAUCAAAAAUGUGUUCCCAAAACUCAUUAUAAAUAUAAAAUUUUCAAACUUGUUUAAACAAGAUAAUUUGGUAUUUAAUUUUAGUAAGCUUUUUGUAUUGCUGUAGGCUUCGAAUAAAUCUUCUGCAUAACCAUGUCAGGAGGAAUCUCAAUCUUUUGUUGUUGAAAUAAUAAAUAGAAAAUUGUUAGUAUUAUUAUCAAAUUUUUGUUGUUCUAUUUCACAUUGCAAAUGGUAACUUGUGCAAAAUCUUUUACAAACAUGUGAUUUUUUUACAUGCUAUUGAGUUUUUAAAAUAUUUUCUUUAACUGAAUGCUCAUUACACUUAGUAACAUGAAUGUAUUGUUACACAUACUCUUAAACUUAAAUAAUACCAAGAUUACCUAUCAUGCAUGAACUAAUGUGUAUGUUUCAGUGAUUAACUGAUUUAUACUGAGAAAUAAAACAUAAACGACUUU